UAAACACACCACAAUAUUGAGAAGGAUGCCG
rnacentral:piRNA from 1 species